rnacentral:lncRNA from 1 species
GACCAUAGGAUCAUCACGAGGAUGGUGAUCGAUCCAGAAGGUUGGUGUACGAUCGCUUUCUUAGGGUAGAUGUGUCUUGAGUCUACGGUGUGGAGACACCGGAGCGAGAGUACAGGUAUUCGUUGAGAACAAGAGUACUGAGCGUGACCACCUCGAGCAGUCAUAAGGAAAUCUAUCUUCUCGUCGAUGACUAGCUCGAUGCUGC